UACUUCCUGGAAUGCUCGAUAUCCCGUUAUUUUGAACCUACAACAUUUUCAAGGGAUUCCUAUUAUUCGUAACUGGCUGUCAUGCCGCCUGGCGGAAGGCAAAAGGUUAUGUGCGGUUGCCCACCUAGCUCAGCUAGGAAUCAAAAUCCGGGAGUCGGCAUUUUGGGAAUAAA
rnacentral:other from 1 species